UCAUGUCUUAUUUAUUUCUAUAUCCCUAGG
rnacentral:piRNA from 2 species